CUGGAUUUGUUCUGCUAAGGGGGCUAGAGACAAGCACCAGGAGCUCAUUCUCAAUCUGCUUUGGUGCCUGAAUGAGCUGCAGGGUCAGCAAUGCACGUGGAUGACACAGGACGUGAGGGGGUGCGUCCUUCCAAUGGCCCCUGUCCUGGUGGGAACCUCCCAUUACCACAUCAGCCCCAGCACUGCCACAACUCCACUACUCUCACCUGCUAGCACUUUGAACCGCCUUUUAGAAAAGGCCUCUUCCCAAACCUCUGUGACUUUAUUCUUUGUGACACAGAAGCACGUUAAAGCAGCGGCUGAAAUCUUCCUUUCCCAGGGGGAGCUGCUGCAUCUGUGCUGCUGUGUGGGGAGGGUGGACCAGAGGCACUCAGAGGACACGCCACUUGCCAGGACCAGCAGCACUGCAGCUUUUGUACCUGUGUCUUAAGAGGAUGUUUUUACCAGCAAGCUUUUCUGUAGAUACUUCUCUUCAUCCUCUAUAGAGGCAAAAGGAUGUUAUUCCAAAAGAGCUUAUUCCAGGAAACAUUCCCUGGAAUAGACCUGCAAGAAUAAACACCAGAACUUUAAUUGCUUUCA
rnacentral:lncRNA from 1 species